CGCUUUUGUGGGGUGCUCGAGUGGCGAACGGGUGAGUAACACGUGAGUAACCUGCCCUUGACUUUGGGAUAACUUCAGGAAACUGGGGCUAAUACCGGAUAGGAGCUCCUGCUGCAUGGUGGGGGUUGGAAAGUUUCGGCGGUCGGGGAUGGACUCGCGGCUUAUCAGCUUGUUGGUGGGGUAGUGGCUUACCAAGGCUUUGACGGGUAGCCGGCCUGAGAGGGUGAACGGCCACAUUGGAACUGAGAAACGGUCCAA
rnacentral:rRNA from 1 species